rnacentral:tRNA from 1 species
ACCAGGGUAGCUCAGCUGGUAGAGCAGAGGACUGAAAAUC